rnacentral:rRNA from 1 species
UCCGUAGGGGGAUUAGUAAGUAGUAUGUAACAGGCGUAGGCUCAACCUGCGUUUCGCAUACUAAACUGCUAGUCUAGAGGAUGUUAGGGGCUGGCGGAAUUUCCGGAGUAGGGGUAAUAUCCGUAGAUACCGGAAGGAACACCAAUAGCGAAGGCAGCCAGCUGGAGCAUUCCUGACCCUCAGGGACGAAAGCGUGGGGAGCGAACA